AUUUUAGUGGAAUCAAGGAAGAAACGCAAAAAACUAGACCCCAUUAAAGAAGCAGAAAUGUACAUGUCAGAAGGAAGAGAUAGGGCUGAUGAACUGGAAAUGCGAUACAUAAACAAUGUCAAAGGACGGGGCGUAUUUGCAAAAUCUCAUUUCGAAAAAGGGAGAUUCAUUUUAGAAUACAAAGGAAAGCUUGUCAAAGGAAAAAGUCCGGAUCUGUGUACAGCAAAUGUAGAUUACAUGUACAGUUUUCGUUACCAAGGCAUGACUUAUUGUAUUGAUGCAUCUGUUGAAGAUGGCUCGCUGGGAAGACUUUGUAAUGAUAGCGAAGAGCCAAACACCAAAGUAAAGACAGUGCUGAUACAGAACAAUCCUCACUUGUGUUUAUUUGCAAUAAAAGACAUUGAAGUUGGAGACGAAAUAACAUAUGAUUACGGUGGUGAGGGCCUUCCGUGGCGCCAAAAACAUCUUAAAAAAAAAGUAAGUUAGCAGUCUUGGUUGAUUUCACAUUGAAAGUUUUGUUAUUUAAUCUCCCUAACUUUUCUCCCGCUCAUUCACUCUUCCUCUCUGUUACUGUUUUAACAGCGGAUAA